GGGGGACAAUAAAACGCCACUAUAAAAUGUGCAGUUUUGUCACAACAACACAAUGCCACAGAUGUCUCAAGUUUUGAGGGAGAAUGCAAUUGGCAUGUUGACUACAGGAAUGUCCACUAGAGCUGUUGGAUGUUAAUUUCUCUACCAUAAGCCGCCUCCAAAGUCGUUUUUGAGAAUUUGGAAGUAAGUACAACCGGCCUCACAACCGAAGACCACGUGCGCAUGGCGUUGUGUUGAUGAGCGGUUUGCUGAUGUGAACAGAGUGGCCCCAUGGUGGAGGUGGGGUUAUGGUAUGGGCCCCAUGGUGGAGGUGGGGUUAUGGUAUGGGCCCCAUGGUGGAGGUGGGGUUAUGGUUUGGGCCCCAUGGUGGAGGUGGGGUUAUGGUAUGGGCCCCAUGGUGGAGGUGGGGUUAUGGUAUGGGCCCCAUGGUGGAGGUGGGGUUAUGGUAUGGGCCCCAUGGUGGCGGUGGGGUUAUGG
rnacentral:lncRNA from 1 species